AGUUCAUGGGGUGAGUGUGGCCUGCCACUCUCCACUCUGCAGCACGGCGGGGAAUUCAUUCGGCAACAGGAGCUGAAGUCCUGGGCGGUCACUGGAGCCCUUGCUCACUCAGACAGAGGAGCCCCAGGAAGCACCUGAGAGUCACACCUGGGCCCGGCAGGGCACCGAGCUCACUGCCAUCUCACACUUAGAUGACAGAGGGAAGCUGUGCCUCCUUGGCAGGCAGGACCCUAGCCAACAGGUAAAGCUGCUUUACGGCAUCACUGUUUCCUGUGUCCUUCAUGUGCCAGGCACUGUACUGGGGCCUGGGGACAAAGCGAGGCAAGAAGACGGAGCGGAUCUCUGACUUUCUGGAUGUUGCAGUUGAGUUGGGGGAGAUGACUGGCAUCUGAGGGACCACACAGCCCGAGUGUCACACAUGGAGGAAGGCGUUCUCUUCUCCCUAAUCCAGCUGACCUAUGAUCCUGUGUGGUUCUUUUUCUUUUCUGCUCUGUAAUGGACAUCGGAAGAGCAACCUGAACACAGGCCUUUAAUGAAUUGGAUAAUGCCCACUGCAUUGGGGAAGGUGAUCUUCGCUCCUCAGUCUACCUAUUCAAAUGCUGAUCUACUCCAGAAAUACCCGCACAGACACACUCAGAAAUCACCUUUUACCGGCUACCUGGACAUUCCUGAACCCAGUCAGCCACCACAGUCUCAUGGAAUGGAAUAGCAGCCUUAAAAAGCACAUUCAUCCUGGGAAGCGAAAGCUGAUCAGUAUUUCUCCAUUGGGAUCAACAUUGAGAGUCUAAAAGAGCAGACUUGAAAAUGAUCUGCGGAAAUGGUCCGCCCUCCAACAUUUUUGAGGAACUGCUUAAAAUCUGCAGUGCUGUGGCUCCCCAUUCUCCCUGUUUCAUUGCUGUCACCUUUUCUUUUGUGGACAUGAUUAGCUGGCUUUCCUUGGCCCUGCAAUGGGCACAUUGAUCUUGAGAGUAAAAUCCUUGGUUCUGAUCCUGGCUUUUUCCCUUAGAAAUCAUGUUACCUCUCUGGGUUUUAUUUUCAUCAUCUGCAAAAUGAGACUAUUGAAUUAGGUGAACUCUAAGAUCCCUUCAAGAUCUAACAGGUGAACAGUUAUUUUCUCCAACACCAACUCUCAGGGAAGUCAAGGGAAGGGAACCCACAUUAUAUUUCUUUGGCGUCCAUGGUCUUACUCACUCAUAGAAAUGAGCAUCUAAACCAGUGCUUCCCAAACUUUAAUGUGCAUUCAAAUUGCCUGGAAUCACAUGAAAAGGAAGAUUAAGGGAUCCCGAGAAAAUGAAGAUUCUCAUUCAGUGGGUCUGGGCUGGCGGCUGAGCUUCUGCUUUUCUGACAGCUGUCAGGUGACACAGCACAACUUUGAGUAACAAGGUCUCAGUCAGGAGCUAAGUGAGGCCGAGGGGUGGGUCUGUUUUGCUCCAUGCUGGACCCCUAGUUUAACCUGUCUCAGAGUACAGUCCCACUAUGUUUGAGUACAUGAAGACUGGGGAGGGGGGGCGGUUCAGAGAGAAGGAUAAGCAGUGACUACUGAUCCUUGGGUCAGAUCUCAUCCUCAUCAUCUCCCAUUUUACUUCCCACUGGAUUGGAGGGCUAUACCACAGAACUGGUGCCUGCACUGGCCUGGGAGCAAGGGAUGGAGAGGUCAGAAACUCCGGAGAUGCUGGAGGGGGAAGCGGGUGCCUCUGAUCUCUAAGUGCCAGCUCCCAACUCAUCACCCAGAAACCACAGCUCUCAGCAUACACUCUUACAUGCUAUAUUUCCCCCCAUUGAUGUCCAUUUCAACCACUGCAAAUUAUUCAGCAGCAGUGAAGGGUUCCAUACAGUAUGACUGGCUCCUGACAUCACUGUUUUAUGGAAGGAGCACUGGCCUGAGAGGCACACUCUCUGACUAUAAUCCUGGCUGACCCACUGACUCAGGCAGUGGAUGACAGUCCAUCAAAUGCUCUGAGUUCUAGGGCAGAAAAAGCUUUUCCAACCUAACUAUUCGCAGGAGGUCAUGUUUGUGAAGGGCCUGUGGAAAUGCAACAGGUACGGUGAACAUGAGUUUGAGUUUGUGCUUUGCUGUACCAGCGAUGGCCCCCUCUGGAGGCCAGAGUUCACACCUUAUGCUUGUCUUGUCACCCAGAGCCCUCUCAGGUGUGAACACAGAGGAGGAAGUUCCCUCUUUCUCCCUCUGUCCCCACCCAAGCUCUUUGACACACACACACACAGACACAUAC